rnacentral:rRNA from 1 species
CGUCGCCUACGGGGGGCAGCAGUGAGGAAUAUUGGUCAAUGGUCGGGAGACUGAACCAGCCACGCCGCGUGAGGGAGGAAGGUACAGAGUAUCGUAAACCUCUUUUGUCAGGGAACAAAGGCGGGGACGUGUCCCCGGAUGAGUGUACCUGAAGAAAAAGCAUCGGCUAACUCCGUGCCAGCAGCCGCGGUAAUACGGAGGAUGCGAGCGUUAUCCGGAUUUAUUGGGUUUAAAGGGUGCGUAGGCGGACUGGAAAGUCAGCGGUAAAAUCGAGAGGCUCAACCUCUUUCCGCCGUUGAAACUGU